rnacentral:rRNA from 1 species
UACGAAGGGGGCUAGCGUUGCUCGGAAUCACUGGGCGUAAAGCGCACGUAGGCGGAUUGCUAAGUCAGGGGUGAAAUCCUGGAGCUCAACUCCAGAACUGCCUUUGAUACUGGCGACCCUGAGUCCGGGAGAGGUGAGUGGAACUGCGAGUGUAGAGGUGAAAUUCGUAGAUAUUCGCAAGAACACCAGUGGCGAAGGCGGCUCACUGGCCCGGUACUGACGCUGAGGUGCGAAAGCGUGGGGAGCAAACAGG